UAGCCAGGAUGGUCUCGAUCUCCUGACUUCAUGAUCCGCCCACCUCGGCCUCCCAAAGUGCUGGGAUUACAGGGGCGAGCCACUGCGCCCAGCCUGAUCAUUUGUUUCUAACAAUCUGGGGGCUCGUCCGGAAUUCCCAUUCUCCUCUGAGAAAAGGGUCUCCAGUCACCAAUAGUGAGGAGAAGCAUCCCACUGCCUCAUUGAGGUGGCCUCAUGGUGAGGGAUCAGGACCCACCCAGUGUGAUGAAUAAACCCGGACUCUCAGCAGUCUGGAAAGGAACAGACCAACAACUUAAGAGAAAAGGAUCCUCACAUACCAUGGUGACCAGGACUAAAGGCCUCUUGGCACAUACACCACCCCUUGAAUUUCCAGUUCACCACCACCAGCCCGGACAGUGAUCACAUUCUCAUCAGAGGUCAGAAAGAAAGGAAGCUCAAGCCCACCUGGGAGGGACAUUAUCUAGUGUUUCUAAUGACUGAGACAGCCGUCCACACCACUGAAAAAGAAUGGACUCACCAUACCUGAGUCAAAAGAGCACCACCCACUCCAGAAUCAUGGACAGCUAUUUCAGGGCCAAUUCCAACCAAGUUAAAGCUAAAACGGGUUUGAUCCUCUUAUGCUAUAUUUCUUUUCCCCUUCUAUUGCUAGUCCUCUCGUUAUUAAUGUAACUAGGUCGAGCUCACCCCAAACUAUUACCUUUGAUGCUUGCCUUGUUAUAUCCUGUGGAGAUCUCCAAAGUCAAAAGCAACUCUCAGCCUCAGAGAAGUAUCUCCGUCCCUUUCAGACAAAAGCCUCCCCCAUUACGACUCUUGUUCCUUAAGAAAUGUAGGGAAACAGGCCUGCCACAGCUGGAAUGAUAUUAUGUGGACAACUGAACAUCAGGGCUUUGUCAACAGGCAGUUGUAAGUCUCUAAAACCAUGUUUGCUUUGUUAAAGGAAACAUUCCCCACCCCGACUGCCAGUAUAACCAAUGUAAUCCAGUGCAAAUUUCUAUUCUUAUCCCCACUUCUGCCAACCCUAAACCUACUUUAAGUCGCUUAUACGGCAUAGGAGCCAAAAUAGCAGGGACACAUCUUAUAGAAUCCUUUGAAAUGCAUUUCAUUACUUUCUCACCUCCUCCACCUCCUUCUACACUCUCUCUCAACGAAACCACUGUUCUUCCUUCAACCAAGGAUAAAAUCAAGGUAAGCCAUUGUAGAAGUUAAAAAUUUGAAACAAACCAUAGCAACUGAGACAGGGUACCAAGAUGCAAAUGCUUGGUUAGAAUGGAUUAAAUAUUCUGUCCGCACUCUAAACAAAAGCAACUGUUACACUUGUGCGCACAGUAGGCCAGAGGCCCAGGUUGUCCCCUUUCCACUCGGAUGGUCUUCCAGCCAACUGGGCAUGAGCUGUAUGGUAGCUCUUCUCCAAGACCCCACAGCCUGGGGUAAUGAAUCUUGCCAAGCUCUCUCUCUGCUAUUCCCUAAAGUCCAACACCCUGCAGGUCAGUCCCUGAGGGCCAUCCAGCCUCCAUCUAUUGACACCAAUUUUUACCUCGGGUCUCUCACAACAAGGGGAAAACUUGGCAUUUCAUGAAGACCUAAAGGGAUGCGGUGAACUUAAACUCUCCCAAGAGCUUACCAGUCAGUCUGCCCUUGUUCAUCCUCGAGCAUACGUAUGGUGGUAUUGUGGUGGACCCUUACUGGACACUCUGCCAAGUAACUGGAGUGGUACUUGUGCUCUAGUCCAACUGGCCAUCCCUUUCACCCUAGCAUUCCAUUAACAUAAUAGAAGAGAAAAUCAGAAGAGAAGAAGUGACCUUCAUGGGUCCUUUGACUCCCACGUUUAUAAAGAUGCUACUGGAGUUCCACGAGGGGUACCAGAUAAAUUUAAGGCCCGAAAUCAAACAGCUUCAGGAUUUGAAUCUGUGCUGUUUUGGUGGUCAACUGUAAAUAAAAAUGUAGAUUGGAUAAACUA